rnacentral:lncRNA from 1 species
AUGCCUCUCCUCUUUCUUUCCCUCUGUCCAGCUCCCCAUCUCUCUGUCUGGGUCUGCAGCCUUCUCUUCUGCUCCCCAUCCCUCUCUGCCACUCCCUGUUCCUCUGUCCAGCUUUUCAUCCUUCUCUUUCUCUCCCCAUUGCUCUGUCUGGCCCCCUGUCCAUCUUUUACUUUUUUCCAUCCCUCUGUCCAUCCGUACUUCCCUCUGUCUACUUCCCCAGCCCUCUUUCCACAUCCUCUGCUCCCCAUUCCUCUGACUGGCUUCCCAUCACUGUAUCUGGCUCUCCAUCCUCCUGUCUCUCCCUGUCACACUCCCCAGCCUGCUGUCCCUCUGCUUCUUUCACCAUCCCUMUGUUGCCUCUCCAUACCUCUCUUUCCCUUUCCUUCUCUCUCUCCACAUCUCCAGUCUUUUACUUCUUUUUCCAUCCCUCUCUUCUGUUGCCCAUCCCUUUGUCUGCCUCUGCCUCCCUCUCUUUUCCUUUCCAUCUCUCUAUCCACCUUCCCAUCCUUCUCUUCCGCUCCCUGCCCCUCUGUCCCAUUUCCAUCCUUUUCUUUCACUCCCUGUCACUCUGUCCCUCUCCCUGUCCAUCUGUUUGUCUCCCCAUCCCUCUCUCUACUUCUUUCUUUUUCCUUUCCAUCCCUCUGUCUCUCCAUCCUUCUAGCUCCCCGUUCUCCUGUCAARCUCCGUCUCCCUCUUUUCCUCUCUUUAUUCUUCUGUCCACUUUUACAUCCCUCUUUUUCUCUCCUGCUGUGUCCAGGUCUCCAGCCUUCUCUUUCUUUCUCCAUCCCUCUGUCAAGCUCUCUAUCCCUCUUUUCCUUUCUUCUGCUCCCCCUCCCUUUGUCUGGCUCCUUGCCCCUCUGUGCACCUGAAGGUCUGUCAUUCCUUGUGUUUUGUCUGGUUUUGCAGGUGCCAAGAGGUGGUCGGCGCUCAUCAGAGGUGAUCAGCAGCGCCCAGAGGGUCCCUCUGAUCUGCCUGGUUCAGGUCACRUCAGACACCUCUGCAGUAAGCACGGGGCUGUGGAUGUGCAGGCGGGGAGCACUAAUGGGCCAGAGACGCUGCUGGGGAUGUGGCUGA